rnacentral:rRNA from 1 species
GAGUUUGAUCCUGGCUCAGGAUGAACGCUAGCGGCAGGCCUAACACAUGCAAGUCGAGGGGUAACAGGGAGAAGCUUGCUUUUCCGCUGACGACCGGCGCACGGGUGCGUAACGCGUAUACAAUCUGCCUUAUACUGGGGUAUAGCCUUUAGAAAUGAAGAUUAAUCCCCCAUAGUCUCUUAGAGUGGCAUCAUUUUAGGAGUAAAGGUUACGGUAUAAGAUGAGUAUGCGUUCUAUUAGUUUGUUGGUGAGGUAACGGCUCACCAAGGCUACGAUAGAUAGGGGCCCUGAGAGGGGGAUCCCCCACACUGGUACUGAGACACGGACCAGACUCCUACGGGAGGCAGCAGUGAGGAAUAUUGGACAAUGGAGGCAACUCUGAUCCAGCCAUGCCGCGUGCAGGAAGACUGCCCUAUGGGUUGUAAACUGCUUUUAUAUAGGAAGAAACCUACUUACGUGUAAGUAGCUGACGGUACUAUAAGAAUAAGGAUCGGCUAACUCCGUGCCAGCAGCCGCGGUAAUACGGAGGAUCCAAGCGUUAUCCGGAAUCAUUGGGUUUAAAGGGUCCGUAGGUGGAUAAUUAAGUCAGAGGUGAAAUCUUGCAGCUCAACUGUAAAAUUGCCUUUGAUACUGGUUAUCUUGAGUUAUCAUGAGGAAAGUCAAAUGCGAAGGCAGCCUUCUGGCUCAAAACUGACGCUGAGGUACGAAAGCGUGGGGAGCGAACAGGAUUAGAUACCCUGGUAGUCCACGCCGUAAACGAUGAGUAUUUGGUGCUGGGGGAUUCGACCCUUUCAGUGCCGUAGCUAACGCGAUAAAUACUCCGCCUGGGGACUACGAUCGCAAGAUUGAAACUCAAAGGAAUUGACGGGGACCCGCACAAGCGGUGGAACAUGUGGUUUAAUUCGAUGAUACGCGAAGAACCUUACCUGGGUUUGACAUGUCAGAGAAAGUUUUCCGAAAGGAGAACCCUUUAAUAAUUUAUUAUUAAACUCUGUCACAGGUGAUGCAUGGCUGUCGUCAGCUCGUGUCGUGAGAUGUUAGGUUAAGUCCUGCAACGAGCGCAACCCCUAUAUUUAGUUGCCAGCACAUAAUGGUGGGGACUCUAAAUAGACUGCCCGGAAUAACCGGGAGGAAGGUGGGGAUGAUGUCAAGUCAGUAUGUCCCUUAUACCCAGGGCUACACACGUGUUACAAUGGAUAGUACAAAAAGUAGCAAUUCCGCGAGGAGGAGCCAAUCUUUAAAACUAUCCCCAGUUCAGAUUGAAGUCUGAAAUUCGACUUCAUGAAGCAGGAAUCGCUAGUAAUCGUAGGUCAGCACACUACGGUGAAUACGUUCCCGGGUCUUGCACUCACCGCCCGUC